rnacentral:rRNA from 1 species
UACGUAGGGUGCGAGCGUUGUCCGGAAUUAUUGGGCGUAAAGGGCUCGUAGGCGGUCUGUCACGUCGGGAGUGAAAACUCGGGGCUUAACUCCGAGCCUGCUUCUGAUACGGGCAGACUAGAGGUAUGCAGGGGAGAAUGGAAUUCCUGGUGUAGCGGUGAAAUGCGCAGAUAUCAGGAGGAACACCGGUGGCGAAGGCGGUUCUCUGGGACGGUACUGACGCUGAGACGCGAAAGCGUGGGGAGCGAACAGG